GAUUAUUUUUCAAGCUUUUCUCGCGAAUAUCACAAUUCGUCGUGUUAAGUUACCGGGAAUUUUUUUCCGCGCAAUUUACAAAAGUUUAUAAUUUUCGUUCAUGCUCAAUGUUCAUCAAGUGAAAUGUUUAAAUUUACUUCGAUUUUUUUCUCGUUCUUAUCAAGUUUACUAUUGAUACUCUAAAUGAAUACAUCAGUUUCGCUUGUAAAUCGAAAAUGAUGCGCGGUGAUAAUAAAGCGCCGCGCGAACAAAAUGGCGCUGACGCGCUCUUGUCUCUUCGCCAACUCGUGACGAUAGAUUGAACGUUUUCAAGUAAUCUGUUUGCAUCGUUUACAUUUUACUAAUUACGUGCUACUUAAUAAUGUUUUUGGAUCCGAAAUUUUAUCACGUUGCGCCGUAAAUGUAUAUUUUUUUUGAGAAAGCUUUAAAUAUGUCGAUUUAGGCUACUUGAUAUUUUACUGUAAGAGUAUAAAACAAGUGGAGACGCCGGCCGCUGCCCCAGAGCAGACGCGCCUAUCGAAAACGACGCCGAGAUAAAGCGAAAUGCGCAAAAGCCUUUUCGCUCUAAUCUAUCCGAAAUUUUGCGAUUCAAUGGAGAAAUCAUGCAUUAAAUAAUUAUUCAAUUGACAAUUUCAAUUUUUUUUUUCCGAAAUAAAUGGAAAAAUCGAUGAUUCGUGUAAUCUCGUCACUAUCGAUGUUCCUUUCGUAUUCGGGAUUGAUCUAGUCAAGGAGAAAAACUAAAGAAAAUAAUUACAACGAAAUUUAUAGUUCGUAAGUCAAAUUAACUUUAUUUUUAUCGCUGCACAAAGCGUGUGACGUUGCUCUUUCCUCCUUCCCCUAUUUUUUUUCUUUUUUUUUCUUUCACUUUUGAAACCUUUUCAGCGUUACAAUAGGUAUCUCGAGCAGGAUGAAUAACCAGCUGAUUCAAUAACACGAUGCCCGCAGUAAAACUUGAAAUAUUUGACUUUUGUAAAUAUCUUAUAAAUUUAUAUAUAUAUUUAUAUACACGCAUAUAUAAACCAAUAUUUACUUUUUACUCCGUCUAUAGCAGAACUUUUGUCUUAGCUCUUGAAGUGAUUUUUUGGGCACUUAUCUCGUUUCGUCCGCAAGACAGAGCCUUGGACUUUUUUCGCAUAGUAAUAGUUAACAAAAUCAAAAGCAAUCCCUUAAUCGUAUCGGGAUGUUUCGCGCCUAUAUGGGUUUGCUCCCGCUCGCCCAUAGCGAUGCCAAACCCGAAGACAUUAGGAAAUCAUCGUUCGUCAUGAGAAUACACUUAAAUUCACCGGGUGUCAAUGGUCGGCGUGCUCUACUGGUUUCAUAAAUAUAAUAUAUUUUAAGGAUGUGUACAAUGAUAAAGUGUGUACGAGCACACUAUCACAAAGCAAAGUUAAAAUUAUUUGCAUGAAUAAUUCUAACGAAUUUAAAUUUUAAGCCGUUAACUUGUUAAACGUUAUAACUUGUUAGAUUUUAAAUGUUGUCAAAGUUAAUAUUUUUUUUCAUAAGUUUCUAUUUGAGAUAAAUUAAUGAAAAUAAUUCAUUUAUUGUUGACGUGCAAUGAGAGAUAAAGAGAGAGGGCAAUGGAGAGACAAAUAUUGUUUCGUCUACUGUGUAAAUUCCUGAUUUUCCAAUUCCCCAACCUAGUUGAUUUAAUUGUGUAUGUAGAGACAAAGAACUAAGCAACUCAUUGUUGCAUCGUUGGAGGAAAUUGUAUUUAUAUAUUGAAUUGUAAUUUUUUCCUUAUUUUUUUCAUUUGUAACAAUUGUUGUGCAUACUGAGUGAUAAUUGUAAUAAACUUACUUUUUUUUUUAGAGCGUUUGUAACAGAAAAAGAAAAAGAAUGAAUUUGUAGCUCAAAGAGAGAAGAAAGUAGAGAACAAAAAAGCGUGUUUUUUCUCGAGAUUGCAUUAAUUGGCCAGCCUCUGAGAUUCUACUACUGUUAACAAACGUUGAUUGCCAGGCCUGGUUCAUAGUGCGUUUGGUUGGUCAAUUCGGUUUUGCGGUAAACGAUUCGGUGUGUGUGCUCUUUUCGCCUGGAGGAGUUUAUUGACUGAAAAUAAAAAAAAAAAAUAAUAAAAAAAAAUCUUUGAAAAAAUCCAAAUACUCAGAAAGCAGAUGCCUCUUACGAAAAGCAACAUGAAAAAAAAUAAAAAAAAAACUAAAAUAAAUGAAUUUUGCUACAUAUUUCUGAAUUGUUUAGAGC